UCCCUGGUGGCUCAGUAGUAAAGAAUCCACCUGCAAAGUGGGAGGCCUGGGUUCGAUCCCUGGGUGGGGAA
rnacentral:tRNA from 1 species